GGUCAGGGCAGGGUCACAAGUGCACUGCUGAUAGUUCCAAGGGGCCAGCCAGGCUGGGGGGUGGGGCGGGCAGCGAGGCUUGUGGGCAUUCAGGACAGUGCUCCCCUCACGGUUGUGGGCCCUGGCCCCCCACUGUGAGUGGCAGCCGCCUUGCUUGCUGUUCAGCCAGAUGUCCUCCCUAUUCAGAUUCCCUGCCGGUUUCCUUCUCACCUAACGUUCUACCGGAGGUUCUUUGUUCCUGUAUCCUGCAUUUGGUGUAAACAGCUUAGAUGCAAGAAUGUAGAACAUUGGGUAGCAAACUUCUGCCCUCCGGGGAUCCGCCAUUGUGCUGUAAGUCUGUAUUUAAGGUUUCCUCCCUCUUUCAAUAAACGGCAUUCGGCUGGCACUCGGCAUUCAGCCGUGGCGAAUGACUCGCUGUCUCUUGUCCCUUAUUUUUUAAUCCACAGCCCCUCGCUCGGACAUGGUGAACGGUUGGUGAUAGCGCGGGCGUUAUCCCUACAAAUGGAGGUUCCUACCGAGAUCCGAGAAAGAAGGGACGAGCUGAUGGACACCCGAAAGGACAAUGAAGUUCCUCUUUGGGUUCCUGAGCGCUGUGUGCGCCCUGUGGCUGCUGCUGAAUCCCGACAUGGCAGAGACCUAUUGGGCCUUCGUAAAAAACUCUCCCCUUCUGAUGCCAAUGGGGAUUGAGAGCCCAAUACAGCCAGCCUUGGCAAGCAUUAACAUAAGCCUCGGAACUGUAGCCAUGUGGUUGGAUUCUUCAGAAGGUAAUGUAUGGUAACUUUUUUCAAAAAUGUUGAGAAUGUGUCACACCUUGGAGAUUAAGGAUAACUCUGAAGGUCACUGACCUCUAUUUGUUAACAGUAACAUGCCAGCUAAGCCUUUUCACAUUUUGCAACCCUCUUCAAGCUGGUGUAGUACCUACUUUUCAGGAAUGGCUCUGUGCAACAUUUAUUGGCCUCCUGAAAUUCAUCUAGCCUUUUUGAAGAUACCUUAAAUUUGUGAGCCUGAAUGUAGCCAUUAAUGAGACCAUUAGUUCUGCUCCUUGUUUGCUGUUUUUGUUUUUGUUUUCUUUAUGGUUCUUAGUUGUUCUUUUGCAGACCUGCCAGCCUAAGUAGUGCUGGGAUCAAGAAAAAUGGGCCUUGGUGGUUCGUGUUCCUGGAGCUGCGUCCAUGCCAGUGGACCAUGGCAGUUAGACACAGAUGAUGCUCACACGCUCCAGAAGAGAAUCUGACAUCGCUGUUGCCGUUGUUGCUGUUAUAGCAGUGGUGGCCACUGCUGCUAUUGCUUGUGGGAUGGCUACUUCAUAAUUGGGUUCUACAGCUAGCACAAUGGAGACCCUGGCAGCAAAAGUAGCUACCACAGUUAGUUAAUCUUUUAUUUUAUUGGGCAUGAUAAAUUUAAUUCUACAUUGGCUUUGAAAGUUGUAAAAAUUAUUAAAACUCAAGUUCUAUUUGCUUAUGGGAUACCACCUUACAAGGACUCCAAUUUGCAGUAAGGCUCGUUUAAGAAGGGAAUGGCUCAGUUGCCUUUAGCCUCCUGGCUAUGGGUGGAUUAGGACUUCUGUUGGUCUUUUCUGUGUCGCACAGAUUGCAAGCCCAGCGCCACUUUGAGAUCUUUGGCAGCAGUCACUCUACAGCUCACGUGGUUGAGUCUGUAUGAUAAUGAGUAUUCAGAGACGGGUAAUGCUUGGGGGGCGGUCAUCAACCUAAGACAGAGCACUUGUGUGACCUGGGCAGGUGUCUCUAUGACGGGUAAGGUGACCUGCUGACGUCCCACGCAACCUAAGUCAGAAGCUCAUUUUUUAGUAAAAAGGGGGGACCUGUGGGCCCUGGCCCCCCACUGUGAGUGGCAGCCGCCUUGCUUGCUGUUCAGCCAGAUGUCCUCCCUAUUCAGAUUCCCUGCCGGUUUCCUUCUCACCUAACGUUCUACCGGAGGUUCUUUGUUCCUGUAUCCUGCAUUUGGUGUAAACAGCUUAGAUGCAAGAAUGUAGAACAUUGGGUAGCAAACUUCUGCCCUCCGGGGAUCCGCCAUUGUGCUGUAAGUCUGUAUUUAAGGUUUCCUCCCUCUUUCAAUAAACGGCAUUCGGCUGGCACUCGGCAUUCAGCCGUGGCGAAUGA